rnacentral:rRNA from 1 species
AGCCCAGAGGGUGACGGUACCUCCAGAAGAAGCCCCGGCUAACUACGUGCCAGCAGCCGCGGUAAUACGUAGGGGGCAAGCGUUGUCCGGAUUUAUUGGGCGUAAAGAGCUCGUAGGCGGUUCGGUAAGUCGGGUGUGAAAACUCCAGGCUCAACCUGGAGACGCCACCCGAUACUGCCGUGACUGGAGUCCGGUAGGGGAGUGGGGAAUUCCUGGUGUAGCGGUGAAAUGCGCAGAUAUCAGGAGGAACACCAAUGGCGAAGGCAGCUCGCUGGGACGGUACUGACGCUGAGACGCGAAAGCGUGGGGAGCAAACAGGAUUAGAUACCC